ACUAAAGUGAUAGUUGAAGAACUGCAUCCCUUUGUGAAUUGGCUUUCUUGAAAAUGAUAAAUGUACUCCCAUGUUGACUGAAAAAGGACCAAUGAGAGCUUGUACAGGUGGAAAUCAGUCAGAUAUCCCAAAAUAGAAGCUUAAGUGGCAUUUAUUCAGCAUAUGGAUGCGAACUUGACCUUUUGUGGCAUUAAGUUUAUAUCAAGGUUGUUCUCUAUUACAUGUUCCAGUUGUGCGUGAAGUAUGUUCACAAAUGCAUUUUGAGCUCAUUUUGGUCAAAUCCAAACUAGGUGGGUCUAUUUGUUCUUUGUAUUAAUUGGCUACCAAUGCUGCCAUAUAGAUACCCUGCUUAAGCAAAAAUUAGGGUGGUGGGGUCCAUACAAAACAACUAGAAAGCACGAAGAAAGACUGAUUUUUGAACCCCUCACCAAGACAGAAGCCAGAAAAGGUGGAGUUCCAUGAGCACCAUGUUUAUUGGCUCUUGAUGGGGAGUCAUCAAGUAAUACGGCACAGUCCUGAAGGGUCUGGUAUCACUCUGAGGCCUCUGAGGCAGAGGGCCCUUAGCGAAAUUUCUCAUUUCGUUCCUUGCUUGCCAUAAGGAACUAGAAUGAGGAACCUGCACCUACUCAUUCAUGCACGAAAACUCUAAUCUUGAAGUUAACCUAACUAUUGCCUUGUUUUCCUCUAGUCAUCCCCACACAUGUAGAAUUAAUAGGUUUAUCACUUCCAUAUAGGCAUCAUAGUCACUUCACCUGCUUUGAUAAGAAUUAUAGUUUUUUGGGAUCCAAAUCUGAUAUGCAAGUCUAGGUUUCAAGUUUGGCUAAGGUCUUAUUCAAGCUAUGAAUUUUAUUUGGGCCCAAGCAUGGGCAUGUAAGAGACAGGAAGGGAGGGGGGAGACAGGGUUGGGAGUUCUUAAUGGUCAAUAAUUAUAGAAUGAAAUAAAAUUAGUUCUUAUUGUUAGGUUUUAUGUUUGUGACUGUUGUUGCUUACAAGAUACAUUACCUGUUUAUAUAAUUAUAUAGGUACUGACCAACUCCAAAGUUCAUGGAUUCUUGAUGCUUCUUGCUGUUUUACUAGUUUCACAAAUUGUAAUGGGCUGAAUUGGUAGAAUGACUAUGAGGAUAUGGGCGGGCGUGUUUUUAGUCAUACAUCGGCUAUGCAUUGGAUAGAUCUUGGGUAUGUAUACAGAGUUAAGGAAUUCAAAUAACAUCUUCCAUCUAGCCUUUUUAGGCGAGGUUCUAGAUUGUUACAAAUGGUAUUAGAGUGGAUCUAAUCCAUGGCCUAUAUGAAAUAGGGGACACUACAACACAGGUCCGUUUGGGACUGAUCAUGGGCCAAUCACGGUGUUUGUGAUUCGUUUUGAUUGGAUCUAGAUUCUUAGCUUAGCAAAGAUGCCACGGCUUAAACCAAGGGGGGUGAGGACCCAUGCAGACAUGUGUUUAGAUUCAGAUCGGGUAUGCACUGGAUAGAUCUUGGGUACUUAUACAGAGCCAGAAAAUCUAAAUAAUACUUUUUGACUAACCUUUUUGGAUAAGGUCCCGGAUUGUUACAACAACUCUUAUGAGAGUUAACAUAAAAGAAUGACCCUCAUAAGAAAUGACAUGCAACUUAGUUUUCAUCCACUUGAAUAGGUGAUGUAUUACGUCAUCCUUUAUGUUAUAUUUUUAGGUCUCAUUUUGUUUUAAUUACUAAAUGGAAUAUUUUCUUGACUGGUACCAUAUCCAUGAGGAAAGGGAAUAUGAUAGUAUAAUAAAUGCUAUUGCUUCCUCAUAUUGUGCCUCCUAUGUUUGAUAUUGUGUUCCCUUGUUUUUUAUUGAUAUUUAUGUUCUAUAGCUUACUGAUAGACUGACUAUCAAUUAGUGCAAAUAGUUUAGAUACAAAAUAUCGGGGCUAGCAACUCAGUCAUGGAAAUAUUUAAAAUAUCUUGUUUUAUCUCUUGCUUGUUUAUGUUUAUUUCUUGUUAUGCUAAUUAUGUUGACCCUUGAUGUUUGGUUUUGCUGAGGUCAGGUCAGGACAGAGUUUUUGUCAGCAGAUGAUAAUGUCAUGGCUAGUUCAAGCCAGCCAUGCAUGCUACGAUUCAAGAGCUCGCACAUUCGCUUGACAGAGACUUUUCUCAAAAGUGGUACUCUACUAGCAGGCUAUUCUUCUGAAUCACAGUUUCUCAGAUUAAAAAUGACAGGCUUCACAGAAGGAACUGAACCUACUGUAUGCAUAAGAGUCGUUCUUGAACAAAGGGCAGAGUUNNNNNNNNNNNNNNNNNNNNNNNNNNNNNNNNNNNNNNNNNNNNNNNNNNNNNNNNNNNNNNNNNNNNNNNNNNNNNNNNNNNNNNNNNNNNNNNNNNNNNNNNNNNNNNNNNNNNNNNNNNNNNNNNNNNNNNNNNNNNNNNNNNNNNNNNNNNNNNNNNNNNNNNNNNNNNNNNNNNNNNNNNNNNNNNNNNNNNNNNNNNNNNNNNNNNNNNNNNNNNNNNNNNNNNNNNNNNNNNNNNNNNNNNNNNNNNNNNNNNNNNNNNNNNNNNNNNNNNNNNNNNNNNNNNNNNNNNNNNNNNNNNNNNNNNNNNNNNNNNNNNNNNNNNNNNNNNNNNNNNNNNNNNNNNNNNNNNNNNNNNNNNNNNNNNNNNNNNNNNNNNNNNNNNNNNNNNNNNNNNNNNNNNNNNNNNNNNNNNNNNNNNNNNNNNNNNNNNNNNNNNNNNNNNNNNNNNNNNNNNNNNNNNNNNNNNNNNNNNNNNNNNNNNNNNNNNNNNNNNNNNNNNNNNNNNNNNNNNNNNNNNNNNNNNNNNNNNNNNNNNNNNNNNNNNNNNNNNNNNNNNNNNNNNNNNNNNNNNNNNNNNNNNNNNNNNNNNNNNNNNNNNNNNNNNNNNNNNNNNNNNNNNNNNNNNNNNNNNNNNNNNNNNNNNNNNNNNNNNNNNNNNNNNNNNNNNNNNNNNNNNNNNNNNNNNNNNNNNNNNNNNNNNNNNNNNNNNNNNNNNNNNNNNNNNNNNNNNNNNNNNNNNNNNNNNNNNNNNNNNNNNNNNNNNNNNNNNNNNNNNNNNNNNNNNNNNNNNNNNNNNNNNNNNNNNNNNNNNNNNNNNNNNNNNNNNNNNNNNNNNNNNNNNNNNNNNNNNNNNNNNNNNNNNNNNNNNNNNNNNNNNNNNNNNNNNNNNNNNNNNNNNNNNNNNNNNNNNNNNNNNNNNNNNNNNNNNNNNNNNNNNNNNNNNNNNNNNNNNNNNNNNNNNNNNNNNNNNNNNNNNNNNNNNNNNNNNNNNNNNNNNNNNNNNNNNNNNNNNNNNNNNNNNNNNNNNNNNNNNNNNNNNNNNNNNNNNNNNNNNNNNNNNNNNNNNNNNNNNNNNNNNNNNNNNNNNNNNNNNNNNNNNNNNNNNNNNNNNNNNNNNNNNNNNNNNNNNNNNNNNNNNNNNNNNNNNNNNNNNNNNNNNNNNNNNGCAGGAGGACGCUGUAUAUCUGGAUCAGUAUGGGGUUAUUCAUCAUGGAGUUACUGGUUUUUCUUGUCUGCUGUAGACCUAUUAUAGUUCCAAGGUCAAGGCCUGUUGGUGGUUCUCAAAGCAGGAUGUAGGAUGCGAACUUUUAAAAACAUGGUUGCAAAAGAGGAGAACAGGUCUUCUGCAAGCACCAUUUCCCCAUUUUGCCGCUGUCUGAAAUAAGAUACCAUCUUCAGGUGCCUUGGGGUAGUAAUCAUGAUUUGAACACUCACAUCAGUUAUGUCAUGCAUACUUCUGUAGUCUACUGAGGGCAAAAACUAUCGAUGCUGCUCAGUUUCAAAGAUGUCAUAUUCAGCUAUAAAACUUGGAAAUUGAGAUAGUUUCAAUUUGGAAGUUGGUAGCUCUUUUAAAAAUUAAGAAUGGGGGAACUAACUGUCAUAUCACAACUACUGUUACACUAUUUGCGAGGGAUAAACAUGUAAUGAGUGCCUAUACGAGAGAUGAGUAGCCUAUUGGCAGAGCAGAUGUGGACAUGUAGCUUUUGGAGCACGAAAGCUGGAGUUCCUAAGAGGUUAGGUUUUGGGGUAUAGAAGAAUUAGUAUGAGAAAAAAAAUGUCAAGUGAUAUAGACUGAAUGGUUCUUAACCUUUAUCAUUAUUUUUUAUUAGCAUGAAGCGAGAACUGCAAGGUCUGAGGCUGGGUUAAGAGUUGGUCCAACAUGUUGGGCAGAAAAAUUAUCAGAGUUGACUAUUUUAACUUCUACCAGUAAACAAAUUUAUUGAUGCGGAAUAGAGGUGAUAGUGCUAGGUACAUGUGUUGCCUGUAGUUGGUUCAAGAGGAAGAAGCAUGCGAUUGAUGGUCGUGAUCUCAUCAAUCAUGAUUGUUCGGCGUAGAUUUGAUAAUUUUGUUCUCGUUUUUUAGUUUCUGUAAUUCUUUCUCUUUCUUUUAGAGACGAUAUUACGGAUGCCUUGGCUAAUAAGGAGUGUUUUUGUGGAAGAAAAGUGAGGUGCAUGGCUUGGCGAGCAAACUUCAUGGCUGGGUGCUUUAUAUGUGGUAUAAAUGAUUCUGUGAUGUAAAUUACUUCCAGCAGUCUGCAUCUGUAAGUAGCGGCAUGAGAAUAGUUUGUGUUAAUUACAUUCUUUUGCUGUGUAAUAUCCUCUUGGUGUGAAAAUAUUUAUUCUUUUACUGUAGACAUGCUCCUACCAUGUCUCAUUCAACUUAAGUUGUCCAAGCUUGUAUAUGUAUGUGUGUGUGUGUGUGUAUAUAUAUAUCAUGCUUCUUCGGCAACUUCAGAGCUGGCUUUUUCCAUAAAAUGAGCAAGUUGGGAACAGAAGAUUCUUUUCUGCUUUGCCAUUUGUAAUACCUACUUUUCAGGGCACAGGUGGAUUUUCCAGAGACUGGUGAGGCUGCAUGAAACUCGGAGGCCACGUUAUGUGGUUAAAUCAGUGCUUUUGCAAGUCAAGUGGUUUCACAAAGUUAUGCAGCAAAGAAUUGAACUAAUUUGUGAUGGAAACACACAUGUUCCAUCAAGGUGCUCUUUCACUGUAGCUACUUGGUUGUUUUCUCUUGUUAAUGAGCUUAGCAUCUUGUGUGUCUCCUUUUAUUAUAGGGAAAAUGGUCAUUGCAUGGAUUAUUCAUUUAUUGUCUUGCCUGUAGCAUAAGGAAAUUGUUUUAUACUUUUAAUUUAAUUAAGGUUUCUUUACUCCCACAGACUUAAUCUCAGGUGAUGCAUAUUUUGAUGUGACAAUUGGUGAAAUUAUGGUGAUUAGGUAUUGGUGAAGGAUUUUGAUCUUGAAUGGAGAGGUUGUUAUUGGAGAUGGAAUUGAUGAUUUAAUGGAAAUAGAGAGUAUGCGGCUCAGAGGAUUGAACUCAUUACUUGAGCACAAUUGGUAACAACCAUGUAAUGGAACAUUCUUAUAUGUCUGGUCAAAUGCAUCUCAGAUUGGGCUGGUAGCGAUAUCUUUAAGGAAUGCUAUCCCUAGGUUGGCACACGAUUCUUGAAAGCUAAAUACUUCGCUCGGUGUCACACCCCAAGCUUAGAGCGCACUCCAAACUCGGAGUAUAACAGAUGCUGCAUACUUGCAGGACGGGCUAUGCGAGCAUGCAAGACUACAAAUCAAGUCAUAAUAAUCACAAAGUAAUAAUAAUGAUUGUUCGAUCCUCGAAAACUGAUUUAAUCAAGAUUUAAGCAAAAUCAUUCUCAUAAUUAAUUAUUCCAAAGUGACAUAAGCCAAAAUAUGUUAUCAAAUCAAAUGAUUUGUUCUAACUAAACUAGACCAAACUAGAACUUCAAUAACUGUGAAUAUCUUCAAAAGAUUUAGCGUACUCCCUCAAGUCCCAAGCAAUCAUGAUUCAAAAUCUGAAAAAAUAGAAAAAGAAUAAUGAACUACUCUAGCCUAGUAAACAACAUAACACCAAAAAAGUGGGAUAAACAUGCUAAAUAAAUAUAUAAUUAAGAGCAUGAUACUAAUCGAAAAUAAAUCAAUUUUCAAAUAAUACAUAUGUCUCUUUUGAAAUUUACUAUUAUUUUUCAUAAAUUGAUAUAAAAAAUACAACAUCAAGUUAUGGCCAUGUAACCCAAUGGCAUGGGUCAAAUACAGAAUGCAUAAAGUGCCAAAUACCACUAUUCUAAUCACUGGUGGCUCGGUGUCUAAAUAACACUAUUCUAAUCACUGAUGAUUCGGUGUCGAAAUCAAUUUCUUAGAUUACAAGUCAACAUGGCCAAUGAAUAAUCCCAUUGGUGGGGCCAGAUCAUAGCCGUGCUGAGAAUACAUCCAUAUAAAACAAAUUUCAUAAUUUGUCCAAUUAUAUUUUUCAAAUUUUAUAACGUAACAUAUAAUAUAAUUUAAAAUAAUUACUAUCGUAACAAUAACAUGCUUAACCAGUUUAACCAAGUAUUUAUCAUUUUACCAAAAAUUCGAAAAACACACAUUGAAGCAUUGGGUUACUUCUUUUCGCUUCAAAAAUCCCACUUCAGUUAGAUGGGUCAGAUUUACCUAUUUUAAUAUUAUUAAAAUACUAUAAAUUUUAUCAUUAUCUUAGAAGCUAAAUAAAGUUAAAAAUAAGGAUACUAUUGGGGAUACGACCUUAUGCCCAAAUCAAGAUGGAUAAAAGGCAAUGUCAAUCAGGCAGUGGUAUCCGACUGCAUGGGCGGUCUAAACAAGGUGAACUGAAACAGUCAAAAUCAGAUAUGAUUUAAGUGACUCAAUGAAGAUAAAUGGUAACCAUAUUCUAGGGAUACCUGACAGGGUUGAGGUACUGAAACGAUAAUACUGCCUAGGUAUCGGGAUGAACCAACUGGGACCUGAACAACGGAAAGACAGGGCUUCAUGCUCGAUAAGGAUGAAGAAGGAUAAAGCUAAUUGAGCGGUAAGGUCCAACAAUCCGAUCGGUCUGGUCAAGUUUAUUCUAUCCAAUCAAAUAUCAAAUCAAAUACAUGUAACUUAUAGUGAUCGAGGAUGACCAGAUCUAGUAAAAUCCAACAACGACCAGGAUGCUAGUAAAAGCCGGAUAAAAGUCAACAUGUUGAAGGGUUACAUUUGAGCAUGUCUCAAACCUCUUAUUUAGGCCAAUCUGGAGUCCACAAAGUUUGAGCAUAUAUCUGCACGCAUGUCCUUUAACACAUAAUACAGGCCACAACUCACAAGCUUAAAAAUUAUCUUCCCAAGUAGCAAGAAGGCUCUUUAUUCAUCUACUCCGUCACUAGGUCCAUGCACGUAGUCAUUUACUGCCUUCUUUUCAUCCAUGCAGGCUUUUGGAUUUUGGUACACUGAAAAGCUUUCACUCCUUGCCAUUACCAUUAUGGUGGCAUACCAACUCCAUCAACAGAAGGAAACCGUACGAUUAUAGUAUACCAACCCCCAAGCAUCCAAAUGAUGGGCCUUGUCGCCAAUUAGCAAGCUAUGAAGUGCAAGAUAAAGGGAAUUAAUGGAGUUCUCAGGCAAAUGUUUGACAGCAAUGUCAACUCCGUAGGCACAACUAAACAAAUAAGACAGCAAUGGAAGAAAAAAAGCUUGCGAACCUGAAGGAGGAGAGUAAAAGACGUACGUGAGGUGGCCCAAGAUGGUGAAACAGCAUAUGAAUGGCACAACCACAUGGGCUAGGGUAAGAGAAUAUAUGCUUGCGGAGUUGAGGGAUGAUAAAUGAGAGGGUCCUACGGUAUCGCUUCAUGGCCAUGGGUUUCUUUAUCUCACUCUUAUGUGUAGCUAUCAUCUUAACUAUGUUGUACGCACGACAUUACCUCAAAAAAAUAUAUAAAAAAAGACAUUAGUCCUCAUGCAUGCAUUCGACGUCGGAAUUUCACAAGUAUGCACCUACCAACGGGUAGGAGCAGCAGAAUGACAGCUCAAGUGUUCGACAAAGACAAAGGAGGGGAGGAACUAGGGAGUUCAUGUUGGUUGGACCAGCUAGUCCAUCAAGGAUAUAGUGACAAUUUCUAGCUAGUAGAAUUAAAUGCUGAACUCUAUCAUACGACCUUAUGCCAACUUGUGCAAGUUGAAGUUGAAUCCUUCAACUCUGGCUAAAACUUUUAUUAUCAUUGAGGGUGCCAACUCAGAUUUAGUUAUGACUUCACCGCUGAUCUUAGCAAACAUCGACAAGGCUUGGCCAUUUUGUUUUCCAUCAUCGACAAUUGGAAAAAAACUAUCAUAUCCAUAUAUAUCUAGAAUUAUAUGGGAUGAAGUAAUAAGGAAGGAACUGAUAUCAUUACAACUUUCCAAAAAUAUGACCUAAACAGUAUGGGAUGGAGGAAGAUCAGGAUUCAUAUUGCCGAGCCAACUAAUUUGGGAUUAAGAUUUAGUUGAGUUGGAAAGUACUGCAUCGUCAUAUAAUAAAGCUCGAAGAUCAAAAAAAAAAUAAAAAAAAGCCAUGAGGAUAAGCUUGUCAAGCAAAGAUUUGCAGAACUCGAUGAUCAAAUUUAGGGUUUGGUUAGGCAGUUAGCUGACUUACCAAAGGAAUGAGUAGAUGCCAGCCCAGUGGGUUGGUGGAUGUAUUGAGAUGGGAUGCGAGAGAUGCCGCGUGGGGACAGGAAGGAGGUCACACAGUAAUUGGUGGGGUUCCUUCAACCUCCGAUAUAUAUACGGAACCGUAGUAACAUUUAGAGCCUUUAAAGACUAGGACAAUCCCAAUAAUAUAUUACAGUUCAAGACCUUGGCUAGGGAAUUUCACAAUAACAUUUUUCAACAAAGGAGCACCUACGGUGCCACUAGAUUCCUUGACGACGAAUGCAGUGACGUACGUUGUCUUAAUAGAUGCUAGGAGAAUAUACCAGGUUGAAUUGUGUUUGUAUCUUAAUUCAUGCCUCGUGAAGUUGACAGUAGUCUAGUUGUUUUACUCCCUCCUUUAAAUUAUUUAGGAGGGUUUAAAUUUGAAGCAUUUUCUCACGUAUUUAGAUUUUUGGAUGGUUCUACCAGAUGGAUCUUCUUUUUCCUUCCUUCAUUAAAUGCAAGUAAGUAAGUAGGCUCUCAUCUACGCUUAAUCUUCGUGUAGUUUUUCUUGUUGAGGGAAAUCCAAGUAGCUCCAACAAAAACUCAAGAAAUAGACCAAGCAUAGACCAUUAUAAAUCUAGGAAGGAACGAAACGGCAUGCUUUUCUCUUUCGAAAAAAAAAAAGUUCAGUUGGCAUUACAAAAACUUAAGCUAUGUUUCUAAGAUUUCUUAUGGUCAAAUUAACUUAAUAAAAGAAGGUGUUUAGUCAUAUCUUAAACAUGCAUGCAUUAUAUAUAUAUAUACUUUGCUCCUGUAGCAAAGUAAGACCUUUAAGGACUAAGAAAAAAUGGUAUAGUUCAUGAUCACGUCAUGAUGUGGAUUGGUGCCAAUGAAGAUUUUGUUUUCUUAUGACACCCAUCCAUUAUAAGUUUAUCUCCUAGAUGUGAACUGAACCAGUUCCAUGAAAUAAACUAUUGCACGUGAGAUUUUUCAUACAUAGAUUGGAAUAGCUUCCAAGAGGAGAUAAAUUAAGUGGAGACGCAAGUGAAAAGAGAUAGGAGAAGUCAUCACUGUACUUGAUCCCCAGACCUCUCAAUAAGGAGAGAAAUGCCAACUGGCUGAGAUCAGGAUGGUUGGCAAGCCAUUGCUUUUAUAUCUUAGGAUUUUAGCAACAUUAAAGAUAGCCUUUUUGGGUGGAGUAAAUAUUUUGCAUCUUUUGAAUUUGUGCAACCAAUAGUUUUGUUGAUCUUCUAACAGUCCCUAUGUCCCUGUAUAUGUUCACAUGCGAGAUCUCCCAUGCAUAGAUGUGAUAGCCAAGCAUCCACUGAAACCUAGCAAUCUCUAUCUGCACCGAUUUCCAAGUACGACACAUCAAUGGAUAAGCUCCAAGGUUGUAAUGCUGACUCCCGUGACACAAACAUGUUCUUCUGUGGAUGGUUUAUUUAAUUAUGUAGAACCAUCCUGCUUGCACUUAAUUAAGAAGAGGAAGUUGCUGCAACUUGUCUAUAAUUGUUGUAGAAAUAUGUUCAGAAACCGGUCUAUUUUUCAUAAUCAUUGGUUAUGAAAAAUAAGAACCCGAUCGACCAAGACAUGCGACGCCAUUGGUUCUAAGAAGUAUACUCAUUCAAAUGGAUUGCCUUCAUUGCUUUCCUAAUAUAUAUAUAUAUAUUUAACUAUUUAUAUAUAAAGAUUUAUGCUGCUGUUUUUUCUUCUUCUCUGUGUCUCUUAACUUCCAUCACCAUGCAGAUUUCAAGAUACAUGCAUACUAUUGUAUAUUAAGCAGCGUAAUAAAAAUAUGUAAACGAAACUAUUUCUAAACCCUAGAGUCCAUCAUGUACGGUGGAUUGGUUUCAUAUGGAAAUUACAUAUACAAUUGACAAUGGAUAUAAACUUCACCUAAUGUUAAUAGUAAUGAUGAUAGAAUCGGAGAGCACAAAGGUAGUAUCAAUUCCAAUUUUUAAAUUAUCACAUCAUCACCUCAAUAUCAGUCUCCUCGUAUACAUAAAUGUAGUCUUCAACUAAAUUUCUCUAAUUCCUGUAAGGGGGAUUUUAUUGUAGGGUUGGGUUGGUUGCUAACUUUAAAGGUGAUCUCAGUGGCAAUGAAAGCUUACUCAAUAGAUCGAGCACUUGUCUCUUCCCUCACCCACCACUCCUCUGUCGGCGUUGGACGUGUGCAUGGGUAGAUCUAAGUGUAACUAAAAUUACUCUCCCCACCAGCCUGGCAAAGAAAUUUAAUACAAGCUAUGGGGACAUACUUCGUACUAUGCAUGAAAUUUUGCGAAAGUGAAUAUAUUGACUAUUUUUUCGAGUAAUUCACGACAUACUUUGAUGAUUUUUUUUGUUUGAAUGAUAUGAUCGUGCAUUAUUUGAUAAAUCCAAUUGAGGUGGAACCAGUCUAGUAGUUAAGCAGCAUAAAAUGUCCAUUACUUGACUAUAGAUUUAUGUGAAGUUCUUUUUUUUGGGAUCUUAUGAAGAAUUGUGAAAGUAAUUCUUGAUAAAUUGGAUAGGAAAAAAUUCAUUGGCACAAACUUCUCAGUGAAAGAGGAAAGUUUACAAUUUUUUAACACUAGAUUUAUUUUCUGCCUUGGAAUCUAAGACAGGGUUCCCUCCUAACUCUAUUUAUUCGUGUAAUUUAAGAAUCGAGCAAUCAAAGUUACUUUAGCCCUAUGUCGGGGCGCAUUUCGACAUAUUCCAUGGUAUGUCCUCCACCUUCACACCUCCACAUUUCUUUCUUCUUUCGACUAUUCUAUGAGCCUAGGGAGCAAGAUGGAGCUGAACCUACCUCCUUACACAUGAAUAAAAAUUAUAAAACCAAGAAUCUAUGAUACCUCAUACUACUUGAUUUAAGUGGGGAGACCAGAUCAUUUUUCGAAGUUUUUAAUUUGUAACCCCCAUAUAUGACCAAGAGAUAGAGUGUAAGUGGGAAUCGAUGUUGAGCACUGAUAUGAAUUGCCAAUCAUGUGGGAUAUAAUACAAACGGACUUUGGGCACUGCAUUCAUUUGAUCAUGUCACAAAGUUGAUGGUAGAUACAUAAGAAAGUGAUCAUUUCUCAAACAUGAAACUUAAAGCCCGCCUUUCAUCCAAGUGUACCGUAUUUAUAUGAUACCAACCAAAUAUAUAGAAUAAAGCUUAAGAAAUAACUUGCUUGAAAUGUCUUGCUGAUGAAAGUCAUGUCAUUUUAGUUUUUCUAUAAAAUCUAAGAGAUAAACAAGUUGGGUUCAAUGAGAGUUCAAAAAAUUUAAAUUCAAUCCAUAUUUGAAUUAGAUCAAAUAUUUGAAUCCAAGCACAAUCUAUUUUCACACGGUGGAGUUAAAGAUUUAUUUAUUAAUCAAAUCAGAUCUUUCAGGUCAAAUCUAAUCGAGAACAACUAAACAUGUAGGUGAUGAAUUGGGGCCUGUUCUCGUGGUCACACCCCACUACUCAAAUAUUCGGAUAGAGGCAAUUAUAGCAUAGCUAGGCAUCUCUUCCCACUCUCCCUGUGUCUGUCUCUCUCAACAAAGAUAUAUAAAUCACAUCAACAACCAUCUUGCAUAAAUCUAAUGGUUAAUCAUAUAUAAAUCAUCAUCAACCAACAACAGCAAGUUGAUGGUUGACGACUAUUACUAAAUGUCAAUUAUAUUUGGAAUUCAAAAUAAUAGGAAUAGUGGAUUAAUUUAGGUUGUUGAGGAUUUUUAUUAGACGACAGAACAUUUUAUUAAAACAAAUCCAAACCGAAGCUCGAUAACUUCAAUUUGGAUCGGAUAGGGUCAAUUUCCGGUCGAAAGUGUAUCUAAUACAAGCUACAGCAAAAAUUGUCUACUCCACCAUGUUUUUAUUUAGUGUAUUUUAUAUUGUAAUUUGAAAGUAGUCCACAAAAUAUUUUCCUUUGAUUUCCUAUGUGCUGAGGCAAGAUCAGAUCUAGGGAGCCUCAUUAGUUCCAGGUCAAAUGAGAUAAGGUUUGGUGACCCAAUCAAAUGAGUCAAAUUAAAUUAAAUGAGUCCAACAAGAGCAAUUAAAAGAUUGAUUUUGACAAGACAUCAACCGGUGGCUCAAUUUCUAUGAGCCCACUGAGCUUUUUUUUGGUUUUCAGAUAACAAGUGGCUUGCUUAAUUAUGGCCUUUCUAGUCUUUUAGCUAGCUAGAAUUGGUAGGCACCCCUCUCCGAAGUUCAUGUAUUGAAAAGAGUUCGCACUGAAAAAGUGACGCUUCUAUCACAUUUCUUAAAAAGCGACAUUCAGCCAACCAUGAAAUAUAAGAAUCUAAGCUCCAAAAAAGUAUACUUCAAUAUAAGAAUCUAAACUUAAAUCCCACCUUCCCUAGGCUUUAGAAGGUUAGGUAGUAUAUCUGGUAGGGAGCAAUCCCUCGUUGUGGAAUCCAUUGCAUACGGCCAGUGCAGAAAACUUCAAGCUAAACCAUAGGCCUGCUAUAAGAAAGUAGCAGUGGUAAAAAGACAAAAAGCCGCCGUACGGAUGGCAGGUCCAUUUCCCCUUAGAACAAAAAAAUAAAACCUAUUUCUCUAGGCUGCGCAACGGAUUUAAUAAAAACCUCUUCUACCUACCGAAAUCCCCCACCUCGCAUUGCAGACUUAGAGGAGAACGGGAAACUCCUCUUGCCUCGCUUGUUAGAUAGAGAGAGAGAGCUGUCGGAAUCCAUAGACCACAGCCUUGUUCCUCUAUUGUGGAAGCAGGAUAAGAGAUAGAGAUGGAAGCCCAGGGACAAGCAAGGGUGGCGAUAAGCUCAAGGAGAUCAGCCUCGCGGUUCAGACGAGUGUGUGUGUUCUGUGGGAGUAGCCCCGGGAACAAGGCCAGCUACCAGCUCGCANNNNNNNNNNNNNNNNNNNNNNNNNNNNNNNNNNNNNNNNNNNNNNNNNNNNNNNNNNNNNNNNNNNUCUCUCUCUCUCUCUCUCUCUCUCUCUCUCUCUCUCUCUUCUUUCAAAUGGAUAUUAUCUUCCAUGGUUGAAGGGAUAGAGUUGGGUUUUUAAGGCAGAUCAGCUUGCAUAGAAGUUGGAAACUAGCUUUAUUUACCUUGUCUGUGUGAGUUGCUACCUUGUUUGCUAAUAAAUCUCUCUUUUUUUCCCUUUUUUUUCUUCUUGUUUUAUUACAAAUGGUUUCAGGUCGAGAGGAACAUAGAUUUGGUCUAUGGUGGAGGGAGUGCUGGUCUCAUGGGUCAUGUCUCACAAGCCGUUUAUAACGGUGGCUGCCAUGUCUUAGGGUCUGUCUUUUGCCUAUCUUUAUCCAUCCAACACACAUAUAUGUAUGCAUGUUUAUAAAAUAAAAAUUUUCAAAAUUAUUUCCAAAGAACUUGUGUGUUUUUGAUGUUAUAAUGCAGGGUAAUUCCCAGGACUCUAAUGCCAAGAGAGGUAUGGUAAAUAUUCUUCUCUCUCUUAUUAUUAUCUUCUUCUUCUUCUUCUUUCCUUUUUACACAAAGUUUGGUCGCCCAUGGGGACCUUACCCCCAUGGAUAGAGCUUGACAAUGGAAGGAUUCUGAUGGAAAAAAAAAAAAGCAGAUAACAGGAGAGACAGUAGGAGAGGUGAGAGCUGUCUCGGGCAUGCACCAAAGGAAGGCCGAGAUGGCACGGCAAGCUGAUGCUUUCAUUGCGCUCCCUGGUACGCAUACCAAGCCCUGCCCUGUGCUUCCUUUAGUUUGCCAUCGUAAUGAUUGGUAUCUGGCAGUCCUCCUUGUGCUUCUGAGGAUGUUAGGUCUCUAGAUCAAAUAGUUCACUCUAAGAAGAAUUGCUUUCAAUGGUUAGUUCCAUCAACCCAUCUUUCCUUUUCAGUGAUCUCCUCGUGGCUGCUCCUUUAUUGGAGUUCAUUAGUGCAACAGAUUCGGCAUCCAUCACACACAGUUUGGGAUUCAUUGCUCAACCAGUGCCUGGUUGGUUGUACCCAACAUGUAUUUGGUUUUUAUGGUGCUAUGAAUACCAAAAUCGGCACAUUAACUAGUUGACUCAUGACUUGGCCAAGAAAGAGUUGAUCACUUGACUGAUAAAUCUGCCAUGAUUCUCCACUCCAUUAUCCAUCAGUUCUUGCCACUGCCAUGGUGUUUGAGGGGCAUAAAGAAUCCCAAUCUGAGUUGCAUCAGCUUCUGAGGUCAUACCAACCAAUCUCCUCUUGCCACAUCAAAAGGAGCUGCAUAGCAUUGCUGGAACAAAACACAAAAAAAAAAUAAAAAGCUGAUGACACUUAGCUUACCUCAAGGAUUGACUUGGGUGAUGAUUAAAUAAUAGCAUAUAUUAGAGUGGUACUGAUUAAGGAGUAAUGACUUGGAAAUGUAACAAAAGGGAAGGAGGUGUAUGUUGUUUAAUGUUACAUAUUAACACAUGAGGCCAUGGCUUAGCAGUUGCACUCCAUUUUGUAAAGAUUUUAGGUUCAAAUUUUUGGAAGAGUGUUUCAUUCAGAUAAUUGUACUAUUUAUUAUUUUGAGAUGAUAUGUGGUGCCCCCACCUUAUUUAAUCUCAAAAGAAGGACAUGACUAAAUGUACUGCUUCUGCUGCACUUUAACUAGAAAACAUUCAAGGCAGCUGCCUAUAUUCCUAUAACAUUCAUGCUAACAAAAUUAUUUUUGUGCGGAUUGGGACUAUAGGUGGGUACGGAACCUUAGAAGAACUCCUUGAGGUGAUCACUUGGGCUCAGCUGGGGAUCCAUGAGAAGCCGGUAUAUCCUUCUCUAUGCAUGGUUUAUGUACCAUAAUUAAGCCUUUGAUUUGCUUUAACCAUCUUUGGCCUAAAAUUUUGUAAUUGAUAUCAGGUGGGUUUGUUGAAUGUCGAUGGGUACUACAACGCCCUACUAUCUUUUAUUGACAAGGCUGUUGACGAAGGAUUCAUCACACCCGCUGCUCGUCACAUUAUUGUCUCUGCACAAACUGCCCUUGAACUAUUAUCGAAACUUGAGGUGUGCAAAUGAGCUCUCUCUCUCUCACACACACAUUUUUAGGGUUCAUUUGGUUCGUGAUUGAAAUCAGAAUGACCAUAUUUUCUAACGUAUUUAGUUUAUGAUUGAAAUAAGAAUGACCAUAUUUUCUAACGUAUUUAGUUUAUGAUUGAAAUUUAAAUAUUAAGGAAGAGUUAAAAUUGAAUUUCAAGAAAUUGGGACAUUUUUAUUCCUUCCUAGAAUCGGAAUGGAAAUAGGAGUUCUUCCUAAACAAAUGGCUGGAAUAUGAGUCGCUCAUUUUUAUUUCCAUUUUUUUUAUUCCAGAGUCCAACUCUCCCCAACGAAAUACGCCCUUAGUCUAUUUAUUGAUAAUUGCAUGCACCAAGUAGUACCUACUUUAUUUUGAUUCCUAACAUAAUAUUGAUUUAUGGUUAAUUUUCAUUAGAAAGGAAACAAAUAAAGAUGUAAACUACAAAUAAAUCCUCUCUAGCAGUUUAAAGUUUGUGAUUGUUAAGCAACCUACGGCAUAGAGCUGAAGAACAUUUUGAUCAAAUAAUCAUGCACUAGAUCGAGAAGCUGAAUGCUACUUUCUUAAAAAGCGUAUAGCCGAAGAUAGAAAAGAAUUUGAUAAUUUAGAUUUUUUAUGAGCAAUAUUAUGGGGAUGCCAUCGCCAAGGUUGAAAUUCUGGACUUUUCCGUUGUAGAGAACAAUUCCACCAAGGACAUACACCUAAAUGGUUUGUUGUUUUCAUAAAACGCAACCCAGUACAUAGUCUCCUAAUGAUCAAAUACUCAGGUAACGAACUAGAGAGACAUUGACAAAAGAGUGCCUUAAUCCUGUGUUAUAUUCGCAUAAUAUUGGGGACCCUACUCUGUCCAAGAUCAGGAUUCGGAACACUGUCAAACUUAUGAUCAGAUUUAAACGAGUAAGAAUAUUUAGAAUAAUAUCAUUUGUGACUCAUUUUUUUGUAUCCUUCUCCUUCUGAUCGAUAAAAAUCGAUGUUGCUUCCAGGAAUAUGUGCCCAGGCAUGAAGGGGUUGCACCCAAGCUCAAGUGGGAGAUGGAGCAAUUAGGCCACUCUCGCAAGCCAGACAUUGCCCGCUAACCAUCCAACUUGUAUACGUAACACCAUCUAUGAUGCAAUCUUUGUUCAAUAUUUUUUUCCCUCUAGUAUAACCACUAAGACACUUAUUAGCAAGCUAUCUGGCUUUUUUUUUUUCUAAGUAAUGACUGAUGGAUGUAUAAUAUCAUCCUCUGUUUGGAUUUUUCUUUCCUCUCAUAGAAAACGUGCAAGAGAUUAAUCUUUCAAUUAGGUCUAAUUGAAAUCAAGUAACCUCGCUUCCACUUCGCUAACCUAUUAACCAUGCUUGUUUAGAUAUAUACUUUUUUAAUUAUAAGAUUAAACUCCCUACCAUGUCUAAGUUGAGGCUCUGGGAGUUACUUCUGGACUCCUAUUUUUGACAUCGUCAAAACUCUCCCAAAUAAAUCAAGCCCCGUUUGGCUAUGUAGGGAGAGAAGAGAAGAGUAAGAGAAGAGCACUCUCCCAAAUUUGAGCAUGCAUUCAUCAAACAACAUUAACAACAAAAAGAAAUCAUUAACCGCUUCGGGGGAUCACACCCGUCCAUCUCUCUUGCUUUGUGACAAACUUGAUUGUUGGAAUAAUCAAAACUGAGCUCUUUUGAGCACAUUUUCUCAUCACCGUCUAUUCAUAUGCGAACAAGCUUAUAAAAGCCAACAUGUUUUAACUUUACAAUGCAAAAAUUGCUCUAUUCGUACAAGAUAAAUGCCUCCCUAGGAAUGCGAGUUGCCAGAAUCCUCACAGCUUUCAAGCCUUCUAAUGCCAAUUCAAAACCUUCGCAUGAACCCCAUUUUAGGUUUGCUUAUUAAGGUAGCAAAUGAAAGUUACAGUCUCUUAGAUAUUGACCUAACAAUGUAGAGGCUGGCAGAUUGAGAUUUUAUUGAAGCAUUCUCCCUACAAGAUGACAUGAAACAGUGUUUCCCUGCAUUUGACCCUAAAACCUCACAUGAAAACCUCGUGCACUGGAGCAAACUUUUAUUCUUCCCAAAAAUAGUCCUUCCCUGGCUGCCCUCAGCCGAGCUGUAGAAACAGAGCGUCACGACAAAAGGUGGCCCAGACACCAGGACAACCACAUUAUGAUCACUUUCUCCUCCAAAGAAAAAAAUAAAAGAAAACUACAUUGGUCGCUGCCAAUAAAAUCUGGACCACCUUUCUCGUUAAAAGUCCUCUUGACAUCACUAGAGAUACCCUUAGCCAAGGGAAGAUGAACACCCUAGAUGAGGAAUGAAACCAUAAUGACUAGUGAAUUGGGGAAUUGCCAUUCAGUAACUUUCAGCUACGAUGGACCUCGUGUCAUGGAGUUUUCAUAUAUGACAGGGAUCAUGCUUUAACAGCUUAACAUCAGAACCAAUGCACUACAUCUUAUACCUACUUCAAUGAAAUUACCUUCUCUUUCAAGAUAAACAUUGGAAAAAUUGUCGUAUUUCCCAAAUAAUGAUGUCCAAUUGGCGUCUAUCACUAGUGAUAUAAGACCACCAUCGAAGAGGAUAAGGAUCACUCGAGUCGCAGUCACGAACAUAGUUUGGCACUGACCUUAUCCAUUCCAAUACAAUGUACUAUUGGGAUUAAAUGGAAGGAGGGAGAGAACUUACCCUCGGAAAAAAGACAGACUUCCUACUGAUGCUUGUUUAUAGCAAUCUUCCAAGAGUCUCCACUGAUCAUUAGAAGUGGAAGGCAUUUUCAGACAUCCUCUUGUAUGUAUGGCAUCACCUCAAACAUUCCAUAGCAGUGGCCUGUCUCAACCUCAACAUCUUGCUACUCUUAUUAUGGAAAAAAAAUAGGUCACUUUAAAUCCUCAGGAAACUGCCACAUACCAGCUCGAGAACUUCCCCGUUAGUACACACGCAAAAGAACAUUGAGAAACUCUGAAUUAUUGUAGUACCUGUUUGUCCAUGCCAACCACAUGCAAGCAAAGAUUAGGCUUCUUUUUGUGCAGAUAGGGCUUCCCCAUAUGCAUCUGCAUUUGACCUGUCGAAAACACACCAGUGGCAUCAGAUCCAAGACCUCCAUCUAAAUGGUGCGUGUCGCUGAAUCAUGUCACAGAUGGGUUAGAGGAGAAAAUGUCAAGAAAUUUAGCAUCUCUCUUCUUGAGUGGUCCUCUGCACCCUAAUCGUCAGGAACAUGCUGCACUUGCUUGUUCUUUGAAAGACCAAAUGCACAUCCAAUUACCAACAGUUUUCGUUCUAUCUUCUCCUUAUUCUGUUUUUCCCAGAUCAGGGACUGUUUCCUUACACUUCAUAAUUUAAACAGGUGAAUGGCCACGUUUCUCCAAUUUUUCUUCUCUCCAUCCAAUAAGCAUUCUGAGUUGCAGAAGCAUACUACCAUUCACCUCAACAAGCUGUGAAGAUUCAACAAGCAAACUGAUUUGAUUGUUAUUAAGAAAGCACUUACAAUACUUUAACACUACCCAUUGGCAUUGUAACAACAUGACCUCACCAAAAAAAAGCUAACUAGAAGAUGUUACUUGGUUCUUUGCCCCUGUAUAAAUGCCCAAGAUCUAUCCAUUGUAUAGUCCUCACAGGCAUGAAAGAGUCGGCACUGAGAGAAAGCAAAGACCUUAUAGGAAUGCAUAGAGAAGGAAUUCAUAAAAACAAGCUGGAUAUUUAGUAUAAAGGCGAUUAGGGAUAUAGUAAAUUUAUCUUUUCCAAUCCAACCUAGAAAAUAAGAACUAUGAUGUGGUGUUCAAUUAAUCCAACAAGACCUCUGGGGAUGACUCAACGCCCCACCAUGAUUUUUGACGAAAGCUUUGUGUGUCCCCAAAAAGUGACUGGUCAACAAGAAAAAGCAGGCAAAACGUGGCCCUGAGAACCAGUCCACCAUAACCGACCUUAUCAUGAGCCCUUUUUCUGUAGAGAUGUGUGUAUAUUCAACAGACAUACAUGAACAUUCCUCACUUCUGCAAAUAAACAAAAAGCUGAGGGGAAUUAAAUAAACAUAAACUCAGAUUCCAUUUAUAAACUGUCACAUCCAAUGAAAUCAUUCCCAUGAUGAAUGUCUGGAGAAAUAUCUCAUGGAAAAGGACCUCAGGGGCCACCCAUUGGUUUUUCCAAGCUCAGUACUGGAGUUCAGUCGCCUAUAUCCUGACAUGAGGUCAGAUGCAUGGAGGGGAAAGCUACCAGGAGAUGUAACAUAACACAAUACAGAAGCUGGAAGGACUGUCACGAACUCUGUGCCUUAAAACAGGCCUUCCCUUCAUAUAUGAUCACGAGGAAGCCACUUAAAUUGAUCUUCAUCCAUGUAGUAGUUGGUGAAAUUAAUCCACAAAUCAGUUUCUUUUUUUCUUUUUUCUUUUUUUGCUGAAGCACAAAUCAGUUUCUUCAACAACUUAUUCUUACAGAAUGCAUUUAAUUGCUAGGCAAACAAUUCCUAAUUCAUUAUCUUGUUCGUAAGCUUAUUCAUUUGCUUUAAUAUGAUUAGUACUGACUAAAGAAGUGAAAGCAAAUAUUCAAAUACAUGGUCCAGUGUNNNNNNNNNNNNNNNNNNNNNNNNNNNNNNNNNNNNNCACCUAAUAGAUGAUUGCUGAUUCAAAAACUUGAGCUAAUGAAAUUCUCACACGGUCCCAACAUUUAAGAAAGAAAAUAAAGUUCUAGAUGUAAUUUAAACUGUAAAACUAUCUUCAUGAAAAAUUAUUAGGAUAAAUAAAAAGAAAAUUUUAGAAUAUGAAAAAUAAACAUAUUCUCAUAAUUUUUCAUCACUAUCUAAUGGAUCAAAAUUCUCAAUAAUCUUAAACUUUGGAUUUUCAGACUCUUAACAUCCUUCUUAGCUCUAGUUUUGAAUUACUCAUGGGUACAAGAAGAUGCAGGACAUAACUUGGGCAUUUUUAGAUGAUAUUCCAUUUACUAACACCAAAUACCCCAUCAACUAUGGAUGGUCGUGUUACAUAACUGAUUUAUUUGCUCAUUUCUGAGUCAAGCUCAUAUUACACUCCUUUUAGACUGAAAUGUGUUCAAUUAGGGUAUAUUCAGAAUAUUCAAGUUCCCGACUUCAUGAAUUAUAUAACGUUUUUAGUCUAUGUUUCAAUUGUUAGUAACUAAUACUAUAUCAAUGAUCGUAUAAAAGCUCAACACAUGCACGAAUACUAAACUAAAAGAUCAAAGAUUUAGUAAGCUUAUAAAGAAAACAGUUAUUGAAGAAAUAUAAUUUCCUUCUAUUAUAAAACAAACUGAGAUAUAUUGCUAAUUAAUUUCUUUGUAAGUAUGUCAUUUAACUAGCGAAUAUUAUAAUUAUAAAUGGCCAUGCAACUACGGUAAAGAUACUUAGGCCUUUGUUCACUUAAUUUAAUUAUCCAUGAAGAUAGGUAUCAUGCUUGUGCCAAAAAUAAGCAAAUGCAUAGGAUAUAUAUCUAGUUGUCAAGAAUAAUUAUGCACCUUUAGUAAAACAGAGAUUAUUUAUGCAUAAUAGAAUAAAGCAUCAUAAUGCUUGUGGUAUGAUAAAAAUACUAAUAUGCAUAUACCAAUAUUCUGACACUACCAGGUACAAUCAGGAAUACAAUAUUAACAGGUAAAGUCGAGAUUAUAACUAAAGCAUGUACAAAUGAAACCUAAAAUGAUUAGCCUAUAAGGAUUGAUACACAAGCAUGUUUAUUGUGUUCAUAUAAUUCCACAAGCCAGUGGGAAAGGAGGAGGGGGAAAACAUAAGCCCAAUGGGUAAAGAGUAGCAUGAUGAGAACAAUAACAUAAAGCACGAUGCAGCAGUUUAAACAUCUUGAAGCAUGUUCACUAAUAUUUGCUUUCAAUGAACCAUUUAGCUCGAACUUUUUAUGACGCUUCUCUCAUCUUCUCCAUAACCUUCCCUUCAGUCUUGAUUUAUAUAAAUUCCAAGAAAAAAAUGUGGUAGCAGAAGCAGCAGAACAUAAUGCUAAUAAUAAUAUCACAUCACUUACCAAGUAUGUCGAAACUAGUUUUAACAAGAUGGCUUACAAUACACUCACAUAGUAAAAGUGUAAACCAUUUAUAAUAUGAACAUUCCAUAUCAAACAUUGUCUCCAGGUUGCCAGCCUCACGCACUAGAAUGCAGUACCAAACACAUUGCAAAAGAACAAUCAAUGAUUGAACUACCAAAAGGACAUAUGUGCAAGAACAAUGAAAAAACAACCACAGCCUAAAACACAGAAAUCUAAAUGACCAAAAUAAUAAGAACAUGAAAACAUAUAAAAAUAAAGCACCAACAAAACUAAAACCAACAUUUGCCGGACCGAUCCAAACCAGGUGGUUCGGCAAGUACCAAACCGAACCAACACCAAAUCGGGACGGUUUGGUUUAUCGAAAUAGUUUGGUUUAUAACAAGGUUCGCUGUCUCGGUAUCAGACUCUGUACCAGUGCCACGCUAGCACAGUGUCAGUACGGUACGGUAUAGAAUUUUUUUUUAGCGUACCGACCCGUACCGAGUACUGAUACCGAACCGGCAUGGUACAGUAUGCCCUGUAUCGCCGGAUUCGGACCGGUACGGCAGACCAUGAUUUAUAAACCUCCCCCUCAAUUCGAUGGUUUGAGAGCUUUCGAGAGGGCUCUUGACCUCUCACUCGCUCGCUCGCUCUCAUCCCCUUCUUCAAUGCCGCAACGCCCACCGAUACCAUCCCUUUAAGUAAGCCACCCCCCUCCUCUCCCCCCCAUCCCUCCCNNNNNNNNNNNNNNNNNNNNNNNNNNNNNNNNNNNNNNNNNNNNNNNNNNNNNNNNNNNNNNNNNNNNNNCCUCCCUUCCUCUCCUUCUCCCUCUCCCCUCUCUCUCCCUCCGUCCUCUCUCUCUUCCUCCCUAUCCAUCCCCAUCGUUCGGUAUGCCCCAGCUCGGUAUGGUACGUCCACAUACCAUAUCAAACCAGUCACCAGCUGCUACAAGCGUCAGUACCAGUUCGAUGAACCUUGACUGAAACACUACAAAACUAACUGAAACCUCAAAAUGCAAGACAACAAUACAUGAUCCUAAGUUGUUUCUUCUUUUCUUUUGAAUUUUAUGGACUCCACAACAGGGUUAGCCAUCUAGAAUUGCCAAUGGGCUCAAGAGGCCUUGAGUCUAUGGCAUUUGGGAAUCUAGAUGCAAGCUCAGAUUUGCCCUGAUGCCUAACCUAGGCUCCAUAUGUGCUGAAGCUUCAAAUAAUUCGAGCCAGGACCAGCGGACGAGGCCUUGGCCUAGGCUCAUAAUCUUGGUAAAAGCUAAAGUGGACCUAUUUGAGUCUAGCCCGACAAACACCUAGACUAGAGACAAGUUCGGACCUAACAUUCUCUCACUCGUUUCAUGUUAGACUUGGCUCAAGCAAGCGCUUCCAACCCUAUGCUAAAACUAGCUUGGCCUAUUGACACCUUCUAUCCCUCCCUUGAAAAUCCUACGCAUACCCACCCUAGGUGAAUGCAGGAUUGAUCCAAAGCCCAUUGGCACACCUCCAUGAGACUUUACCAGCUGGUCAGUUAGCAUUUUCUCUAAUCUUCAUAUGAUGCCACAAUAAAAUGCCCAGCAGCAUUAAACCCUGUUUGGUAUAAUGCAUAUUCCUAGUAUACAGGGCAAUAGUGCCAGCUAACAGUUGUCAUCGACAAGGCAACUAAAAUUAAAAAGUAAAAAUAAUAUAGCGAGAAAAUUACAGAAAUAGCACAAAUAGGCAUUCUUUUUUAAGGAUGUUCAGAGAUAAGAUAAUGAAUCUUUGCGGUUCCUUCCAUAUAAAACCAGCAACAAUUGCAUAGAUGACCAGUAAAUGAACAGUUAGGUUUCAUACAAAGCAUAGUUCGAAAGAAAAACCACAUGAUUUACAGGACACCUUUCAUUGAAAACUUGCACAAAAAGGUUCCACUGUUCUCAUACUAUAUUCGGCACACGGUAUAUCAACAUGGGACACAUCAAUAAAAAUUGAUCUAACUAACAGAAAAUAAAGAUUUCUCUUUUUUUCUUUUUCUUAUUAGGUAUAAUACAGACACAUCACAUAACCCAAGAGCAAACAGAAGACUAUACAAUUCAGAUAGGCUGUUUUCUUCAACAAAUGACAGCAGGUUUUAUGUUAUUCCAAAGGUUUAGAAGUUUAAGAACUACUCAGUAGCCAUCUGAGAUUCAAUUGAAAAGGAAAGGCAAGACAUAAAUACAAGCAUGUCCAUAUAUCCUCGAAAAUGAUUGUCUUGCUUCUCCACCUCCCGUGAAUCUAAGUCAUAAAAAAACUGAUGAUUAGGCAUGAACUUUUUGACUUGAGUCAAAAAGGUUUAUAAACCAAACCUUUCUAUAAGCAUAAUACCUGAACACAUAGCACAUAAAUAAAGGAUGACAACAGGAAUAUAUUUCUAUACGACAAGAUUUAAACUGUAUGAAUGAAUUAAAGGGUAUUAAUUUUGAUAAGAAACGACCUAAUCUGUCAUGCAGAUCUACUCCUACUUUGAGUUUCAAUGCUUCUUGUUUCAUGUAUUAGAUGCAGGUUGAGUAACUGUAAGCCCCUUAUGUGGAAUUGCUAGUACUGGAAUAAUCUUACUUACAAAGGAAAAAGCCAAUGCCCAAUUUAAUGCAAGGAACUUUACCAUUAUAAGGCAGCCUUUGGUUUGAAAAAUGGAUUGUAAAUGAUGAACUAUAUGCUAGAAUUAUUCAAUGCCAUGAACUUGCACUGUUCAUUCAUGGCCAGCAAUUGUGCCUCCUUCUUGUCCAACAAAGCUCUCAGACUAACAUUCUCCUCCAUGAGCUUCUGAACUUCAGCCUCUUUCUGCAUCUUCUCAUUCUCCAGAUGAGUGGUCUUGGCAAUUAGCCUGUUCCAUGCAACAAUUUGAAUCUGUCAUAAAAUUAUCCUGUGCAUACCAACUUCCAGAUAAAUUUAUUUUUCACAAAAUUAAAAAAUAAAUAUGGACAAAUGUAGUUAAUAUAUGCCUUUUUGACAUUUAUUUAUAGCCUAUGGAUGAAUAGGUGCUCGGGAACACACACAAUUAGAAAAACAACAGUUAUGCAAAUUAGUGUAAUUGUAACGUUAAUUUUGCAUUACAACUCAGACAGCAAGGACAGAUAUCCAUGCAUUAUAGGGCAGAUCCUUUCUAGGCUCUUGCCUUCAAAAGUUUUAUGUUCAUGGAUGAUGCACAUAAGUUCAAAAUUUUGGUUGUGGAGCAAAUUUUUGUAAGUAAUCAAGAUGGAUCAAAUUUAGGUUGUCAUGUUGGGUUCUGUUAUGCUGGAUUCCAGCUAAAAUUUAACUCUUAUGUCUCUAAAUGUUUAAAAUAGUAACUCUGGGUCAAGUAGUAUACAACAAAAGUAACCUGUCAAAAAGUUUCUCAAUUGUCUGAAAUUGCUUCUCUGAUGAAAGAAGGGUUUCUCUAACACUGAUGAGACUGCUAACAUAGGAUCUCAGUGACUCAAAAUCCUGCUUCAAACGACAAAGCUCCUGUUCAUUUUCUGCAGCCCGUUGUCUUUGUCUAGAUGUUUCUUGCACCAUAUCUUCAACCUUCUGCCGCAUUUCAUUCAAAACACUAUUUGUACUCACUGCAAACUUCUCCAUCUCUUCAACUUUUGCCGACAGGCUCUCAAUUUGGAGUGUUUUCUUUUUAAUUUCUUCCAAACCAAACUUCACUUGUUCUUUUUCAGUAGCAGCUUCAUUUUCUGCCAUUAUAACCCUCUUAACAAGAGAUUCCAUAACAUCCGUUACAACAUGAACUAACUUCAAUAUGUUGCCAAUAUAGGCUCUGUCAUUAGCAUCAACAGAUCCGAGGUCAAUGGUACCUGCCAAAUGCAUCUCCUCGUCUGAACUUUCAAAAGAAGAAAUAUCAAUAUCCUUAGACCAACCAGAUAAUGGUAUGCCAUGCUUGUCAAUAAACCCUACCCCCUCUUGAUGUUUAAUCCCACAUGAAGCAUAGGCUAAAUGAGGAACAGAAAUAAUUUUCGCCUUUGAUUUCAAGUAGGUCAGCAAUGUUGUGGUAGUUUUGACUCUGCGCCAAAGAAAUUCUAACUCUUUGUUCACUUCAUCCUCAGAACAUUGGAUGUUAGCCUUAACCUCCAAAAGUUUUUCUUGUAAAGUUUCAACUUGAGAUUGAUGCCUCUCCAACUCCUGCUUCCAAGUGAUGUUUGUCUCAUUGAGCUGACUCUUCAGGGUCAACAACUCCCUAUCCUCAACUUCAUUCUCCAUAGCCUCUUUCUAUGUUGUGGCACAGGUACAGUCUGAACAAGAGAUAAUGAUCAAUUAAGAUAAUAAAAUAAUCAAAGAGAGAAAGGAAUGGCUGAAUAUACAUUCUAUUAAUUAAACUUUACUAAUACCCAUUUAAUAAAUGAUCUUUAUUGACAUUAACAGAGAGAAAAAAUGCACAGAAACCAAGUACUAGAGUCAGACGUACAGCAUAGAAAUUCUAGUCAUGAAGACAAGGAGCCUAAUGGGCAGGUCAAAAGCUUUCUUUAGUAUGUAAAAGAAAGAAGAAAGACUCAAGUCAAAAUGUUUGUAUCUAAUCAUCAGUUGUUUUAUGAAUUACGUUCACUAGACAAUUUGAGGACUAUGAAUAAUGUCAAUAAUUCCCACUAAAACUCCAGUGAAAAUUGUUGAAUUACAUCCAAAGUUAGCACAAGCUUCACCCUUAUUGAUCAUGCAACAAUUUAGAUACACACUCAAACCUAAUGUCAAUGUACAUGUUUGUAUGAAGAACAAAAGAUAGAUCAAUAGACAGCACCUAAGCAUGUAUUUGAGUGGAAAAGAAAAGGCUUUCGUACCAGCUCAUUAAAAAACAGCAUAAAGGGGGAAAAAAGAAAGAUAAAAUCAAGGGGCAUUAAGACCUUCUACUCAACACUCUUAUUUCAAUAAAAGAAUUUCUCAUUAAGACAUAACUAAGCAAGAAAACCAUAGAACCAGAGAGAAUAUGAAUUAGAAUUACCAAAUGAAAACAAAAACUCCAUAUAUAAUCAAUUAAGAACGAUGAAAGAUGACAAUUUGGGAACUCCUAAACAUCGAAUGAAAACCUAUAAACCCUAAUCAGUCCAGAUAGCUCCGCAUUACCCCAUUCCAAAAUCUAAAGAGCUAUAAACUAUUUCCUUACAGAGAAACCCUUGAAUUCAUAAAACACUAGCCCUAGUUUUAUGACGAUUUCCAACAUUGAACAAGAAAACGAUCGAUUGGAAGGGGAAAAGGAUGAAAACAAGCCUGGGGAUUCGGAAAUUGGUACCUUGGGAUUGCAGGAAGACGGAGGCGUCGGUCUGCCGUCGCCUUCUCCCUUCCGCAGCUCCGCUUCUCUUUUAUUUUAUUCUUUUGGUUUGGUGAGCUGAGUGGGCAUGGGAUGUGACCAUUUUACCCCCAGUAAUGAACUAAACAUGACAUCAGAAUAUUAAAUAACAUAUUUUUUAUAAAAUAACAUAUUGUUUAUUUAAAGAUAUGCAAACGAAAUAUUUUCAAGAUAUGUUAUUUAAAAUAUUUUAGGGUUUUAUUUUAUUUUAUUUUAUUUUUUUCCAGCAGUGUCCCACAGCAUAUGCACAUGAACACAUCCGUGAGAGCCAACAUGAAGAAUGCGACAAAAAAAAAAAAAGUAGAAGAGGCUUAAUAUUUUUUCAAAAAAAAUAUCCAAAUAGUAUAUAAUAAAAAAAGAUAAUCCAGCUUGCUGUACUAUUUGUUUUUCGAAAUGUUUGCAUGGAACAAGACAAACCCAUCCAUAAGACGAUAUGUUAACUGAAAUAUAUUAAAAAAUUAUUACUCAGCUGGUGUCCCUUGAGUAAUAUAAAUAUUAUUGGAGAAUUCAAUUUAACUAAAAUAUUUCUCAUUAAAUAAAGAAUUUUAAUUUUGCUAAGAUGAGAAAAACGUAGUGCCACUCGUCACCGGCAUAUUGGGGAAGUUGGGGAUUAGCGUCGUAAAGUAGGAAAUAUGGUGUCACGGGGGGGCUCUGGUAUUAUUCUGCUAAUCCCCAGCGAGUGCCGUAAACUUGAUCUCACUAAUGACCGAAUGGGUGACUUUCAGCACGUAAAGCUUGGUAUCAUAAAAAUCACAAACCAAAGCAAUAUAAAAAAUAAAAAAUAAAAAUUACAUGAGCAUGUUUGGCAUCUUCUUUAAUUUCUUAUUUUAAUUUUUUAAAAAUAAAAUUAUAAAAAUCAAAAUAAAAAUAUGUUUGAUAUUAUUAUUAUUAUUAUUAUUAUUAUUAUUAUUAUUAUUUAAAAUUUAUUUUUAUUAUUUAUAAAAAUAAAAUAAAAAUUUUAUUUUUAUUACUUUCACCAAUGUCACUGUAAUUGUCUCCACCAUCAUCGCAAUCGUCUUUACUGCUAAAGCUGCCACUACCAUCGCAAUCAUCUCCAUCAUUACAAUCAUUAUUGUCAUCGCAGUCAUUUCUAUCACCACCAUUAUUGUCGGUACCAUCUCUAUUAUUGUUACUGUCGUCGAUUUAUCGUCGCCAGCAGCACCACUAGAACCACUACAUUUUUAUCCCAGUGCCCCCGCCAUAUUGUCUUUGUUAUUAUAGUCUCUACCAUGUUGCCACUGCAAUUACUAUUCUUGUUCCAAUCACCUUAUCAUUAAUGCAUCCACAACCAUUGUUGCCUCCCCCACCACUAUGAUAACUACAAUCUUACCUACCUUUGCCAUUACCUCAGCCACCAUUAUUGUAUUUAUAUUGUAAAAAUAAUUAACUAUACCAAAUACAUCUAUAUUUAAAAAUCUAGAAUAAAAUAAAAAAUAAUAUUUUGUUUUUUUAAAAAAGAAAAACAAAGUAAUAUCGAAGGACACCUGAGCUGCAACUUUUCUAUUUUUGCAUUUAUGAGUUGUAGAACAUUUUUAUGUUACUAAAUUAAUUAUUCUUACAUAAAAUAUUUGACCUAUAAUUCUUUUUUAACAAGCCCUCGUGCUAUGCUGCGCCUUGAAUUGUUUGUUUGGAUUUCAACAAAAGCUUCCCUCGUGCUAUGCUGCGAUUAGAAUUGUUUAUUGAUGCAAUUCUUAAUUAUUACAAUCGACAGGCAAUAUAAGUUAUAUAAUACUUGAGUCUAUCUGAGAUUAAGGUUUAAUUAAGUUGAGUUAAUACUCGUGUCUCAUACAUAGCCUACCGAGCAAAACCUAUUUCUUUUUUAUCCGAUUUAGCAACUCUUGCAAUAAUACAAAAAGGUUAUACAAAAACAUGAGCUAAACCUACCUUUCUUACAUAACUUCCAAUUUAGUAGUGAAGCAGGAGAACGAGAUGCCACAUGAGCUUCCCUCCUCCUCUCUUCUCCCUCUCUUAUUUUCCCUUUGCUUUUCGAUUUUGUUGCUAUCCUUGGAGUUUUUAUAUUUUACAGAAGCACAAGAAGAACAUAAACCCCCAACAUAACAUGGGAGCUUAUCUAAGCCUUAUCCCAAAUUCCUUUUGUUUUCUCCUUCAAGUGGAGAUUCCAUUUUUAAAGUGAACCAUGGGCUAGCCUACAGUGAGUACCUUUCUUUCUCCUUUUUUUUUUUUCUUUUCAGGCUAAAACGGGCAUUUCAUACAUCACGAGUACGAAUAUACCCAAUAGAAUCGGAAAACAAAAGAUUCCGAAGUGCUUCGGACAUCUCUCCCUCUCCAGCUCAUAGGGUACCUCCUAAGUGACUCGCUAUAUAUGCCGCCAUCCAGUCGGCCGCCCCAUUAGCUUCACGAUAUACAUGUAUAACCUACAGUGAAUACCUUUGUAGACCAUGCUAUACCUCAAAAGGCAUGCAGAUGAAGCUGGAGUUUGGCAAUUUUGGCUACGGCCUGCCGGAUAAUACUUUGUAAAACUAACAGAUAUGCAGCAUAAUCCUCAUAAUCACAGCCAUGAUACAUCUUCAGUUAAGAACUCAUAUCCUUCUAGCAUAUAUUUGUUGAAAUCAGCCAAGAGAAGAUGCACGAUUUUGUAACUUAAGAAAACAAACAAAACUAGGCACAUUGGUUUCCAACCAAAAUAAGCACAUCAGUCCAUUUUUAUUCAGCACUAGAGAAAAACCUGCUUCUCAUCCGAUGGUUUUCUUCCCGUCAGGUUGGUGUCGAGACCAAUCAUCAAUAGGUUCUAAGACCAAUUAGUAAGCAUGCCAGUGAACAAAAGAAAGGAAGAUUUGCUCUGCUGCAGCGAAAAGAGAGGAAGUUUCAGGCACCAUAGAUCAGUAACUAUGUGAAACGCUCUGUUUUCAUCUAUACUACCCAACACCUCCAGAGUGCACAGCAACUUCUUUCUGAGUUUUACAUCUGCAUGAGAAAAAUAUUUAGCAUCACCAAUCCACCAGUUGAAUAAUUGGACUCAGAAUAUUGGACUAGCACAAUGAAAUCGAAGGGCAAUGGUAAGCAAUCAGGAUCAAUUAUCAGUUAAUAUCUAAUUGAUAAUAUCAGGGUGGUAACAGAUGGUGAAUAAGGCAAUUGAAGACUGAAAAGAUGUCUCAAAUCUAGACACUAUGAACUAGCAUGCAAUGAUUGCUUAAUUGUGGAUGCUACAUAAACAAAAAACAGAAAAAAGAAUACUUAUGAAUUACAAGCUUGAUAAUUCAUGCCCAAAGAGCUGUCUAAAAAUUCUGUAACAAAAAAAAGAAGAAAACCUCUAAUCAAACUUCAUGGAAUGAAAACUAAAUCACAGAUGUACAGCUUUUCGGUGGAUGUGUUAUUGUAUUUUCUGUUGCAUAUUUGAUGCUAAACUAGAUAUCUCACGUCAUACCUGCUAUUGCCAGGCACAUGCAUUGCACAUGAACGAUAAGAUAGGACAUAUUUGAACUAUCUAAAUUUGAAUUAGAAUUCUGGGAAGGAUGAUAAAGUCUGAACUUGUUGCAUGCCAAAUAGAUGAUGACAAAUAGGCUAAAAGAUAAAAGUAAUGAAUAUCCAACAAAUGAGCUGAACAGAUCAUGCAUAUGGACAAAUUACAUAAUUACUGUCAGCGAUAUGUGAUGAUUGCUGAAGAAAUGGCUCUAAAGGAUGGUAUAUUAUAAAAAUUUAAAAGGUUAUUUUAAUUUUUUUAUGGCAGAAGCAAUUAGAUUAC
rnacentral:lncRNA from 1 species